UACCUCUCCGUUGGUCUUGGUAAACGUUGAGUUUUUCCCAUUUCGUCCGUUGACGUAUGGUUGUAUCUCUUCCAGUCAUUCAUUAAUGUCUGGUUACCUCUCCGUUGGUCUUGGUAAACGUUGAGUUUUUCCCAUUUCGUCCGUUGACGUAUGGUUGUAUCUCUUCCAGUCAUUCAUUAAUGUCUGGUUACCUCUCUGUUGGUCUUGGUAAACGUUGAGUUUUUCCUAGUUGUCCGUUGGCAUCUAGUUGUGUUUUC
rnacentral:lncRNA from 1 species